UACGUAGGGGGCUAGCGUUGUUCGGAAUCAUUGGGCGUAAAGCGCGUGUAGGCGGUCCGGUAAGUCCGCUGUGAAAGUCGGGGGCUCAACCCUCGGAUGCCGGUGGAUACUGUCGGGCUUGAGUACGGAAGAGGCGAGUGGAAUUCCCGGUGUAGAGGUGAAAUUCGUAGAUAUCGGGAGGAACACCAGUGGCGAAGGCGGCUCUCUGGGCAGAUACUGACGCUGAGACGCGAAAGCAUGGGGAGCAAACAGG
rnacentral:rRNA from 1 species